AGACACAGAUGAAGCGGAAUUGUCCAUUACAACACAUUGUCCAGUUCAUUCACACUACAGAUCCGCUACCUAAUCUGGCAAACUUGCAUAAUGUAAGGUAA